rnacentral:rRNA from 1 species
AGAGCGAACGCUGGCGGCAGGCCUAACACAUGCAAGUCGAGCGCCCCGCAAGGGGGAGCGGCAGACGGGAGAGUAACACGUGGGAACGUACCCUUCAGUUCGGAACAACCCAGGGAAACUUGGGCUAAUACCGGAUACGUCCGUAAGGAGAAAGAUUUAUCGCUGAAGGAUCGGCCCGCGUCUGAUUAGCUAGUUGGUGGGGUAACUGCUCACCAAGGCGACGAUCAGUAGCUGGUCUGAGAGGAUGAUCAGCCUCACUGGGACUGAGACACGGCCCAGACUCCUACGGGAGGCAGCAGUGGGGAAUAUUGGACAAUGGGCGCAAGCCUGAUCCAGCCAUGCCGCGUGGGUGAUGAAGGCCCUAGGGGUUGUAAAGCCCGUUUCGGCGGGGAAGAGUAAUGACGGUACCCGCAGAAGAAGCCCCGGCUAACUUCGCGCCAGCAGCCGC